GGUUCGUUUGGUUGUCGUAAGAAUAAUAACAAUAAAAAGUACGGUUUUAAAACUUAUUUUAAUUAGUUGAUAGGAAGUUUGUUCCUAGAAACUCAGUCGGGAUCCGUACUCUCGUUCAAAAUAAGUUCCACAAACAAGAAACAAUAUGGAGGAAGACAUAGACAUAGAGGAUCACAAUCUGUUGGACAACUUGGCCCUUAGGAGUGUGUUUCCAGAUCUAAGCAUUCUCAAACAAGAAAUCAUAGAUUUUGGAAUUGGAGAAGAUAUCAAGACAAAGACAGAAGUUCUAAAGGGGACCAGAAAUGAAAACGAACCGGUCAUUGCUAUGCUAAACUGCGGGAAUGAUCUUCUGUUACCAUCCACACAAGACCUAGAUGUUAAACCGGCUAUUCUAAGCACUAACAUAGAUGAUAAAC